rnacentral:rRNA from 1 species
GGCCUAACACAUGCAAGUCGAGCGGAUGAGGGAAGCUUGCUUCCUGAUUUAGCGGCGGACGGGUGAGUAAUGCCUAGGAAUCUGCCUGUUAGUGGGGGAUAACGUUCCGAAAGGAACGCUAAUACCGCAUACGUCCUACGGGAGAAAGUGGGGGAUCUUCGGACCUCACGCUAACAGAUGAGCCUAGGUCGGAUUAGCUAGUAGGUGAGGUAAUGGCUCACCUAGGCUACGAUCCGUAACUGGUCUGAGAGGAUGAUCAGUCACACUGGAACUGAGACACGGUCCAGACUCCUACGGGAGGCAGCAGUGGGGAAUAUUGGACAAUGGGCGAAAGCCUGAUCCAGCCAUGCCGCGUGUGUGAAGAAGGUCUUCGGAUUGUAAAGCACUUUAAGUUGGGAGGAAGGUCUGUAAGUUAAUACCUUGCAGUCUUGACGUUACCAACAGAAUAAGCACCGGCUAACUCUGUGCCAGCAGCCGCGGUAAUACAGAGGGUGCAAGCGUUAAUCGGAAUUACUGGGCGUAAAGCGCGCGUAGGUGGUUUGGUAAGUUGAAUGUGAAAGCCCCGGGCUCAACCUGGGAACUGCAUCCAAAACUGCCUGACUAGAGUACGGUAGAGGGUGGUGGAAUUUCCUGUGUAGCGGUGAAAUGCGUAGAUAUAGGAAGGAACACCAGUGGCGAAGGCGACCACCUGGACUGAUACUGACACUGAGUGCGAAAGCGUGGGGAGCAAACAGGA